GACGAACGCUGGCGGCGUGCUUAACACAUGCAAGUCGAGCGGUAAGGCCCUUUCGGGGGUACACGAGCGGCGAACGGGUGAGUAACACGUGGGUGACCUGCCCUCAGCUCUGGGAUAAGCCUGGGAAACCGGGUCUAAUACCGGAUAUGACUCCAUGACGCAUGUUGUGGGGUGGAAAGCCUUGUGCGGCUGAGGAUGGGCCCGCGGCCUAUCAGCUUGUUGGUGGGGUGANGGCCUACCAAGGCGACGACGGGUAGCCGGCCUGAGAGGGCGACCGGCCACACUGGGACUGAGACACGGCCCAGACUCC
rnacentral:rRNA from 1 species